GUUUGUUUCAGACUAUUUUAAAUGCUCUUCUGCUCUUUCUUUCUAGGUCAAACCAAAACAGCCUUUUACAGCAAUCUCCACACGUGCUGUGGAUGUUUCUGGGGGCUUUAAGUGCUCUUUUGUUCAAAAAAAGUAGGAGUGAUAUUUAUAUAUACCUGGUAAAAUGCAAAAAAAAAAAUUGGAGCCAGAAGGCGCUGGAGGGCUUUGGAAGCAAGUACUUGCACACAACCAGCCCCUCCUUCAAUGCCUACACACUCCCAUCUUGAGCAGGGAGUAACUGCAAGAGGACAAGAGGAUAAAGAACUCAUGUUACUGCAGGUUUGCACUCUGAUGUCACUGGAGAGUUACCAGCUUUGUGAUUUUUUUGGCUGUCCUUUCCAUCACUAUAAAAGUUAGCAUGAAUAUCACAACAGAAGCAAAAUGGCCCAGUUCAGAUCAAA
rnacentral:lncRNA from 1 species